CACGUAGGCGGCUUUGUAAGUUAGAGGUGAAAGCCCGGGGCUCAACUCCGGAAUUGCCUUUAAGACUGCAUCGCUAGAACGUCGGAGAGGUGAGUGGAAUUCCGAGUGUAGAGGUGAAAUUCGUAGAUAUUCGGAAGAACACCAGUGGCGAAGGCGACUCACUGGACGACUGUUGACGCUGAGGUGCGAAAGCGUGGGAGCAAACA
rnacentral:rRNA from 1 species